rnacentral:rRNA from 1 species
GAUGAACGCUGGCGGCAUGCCUAAUACAUGCAAGUCGAGCGAACAGACGAGGAGCUUGCUCUCCUGACGUUAGCGGCGGACGGGUGAGUAACACGUGGAUAACCUACCUAGAAGACUGGGAUAACUUCGGGAAACCGGAGCUAAUACCGGAUAAUAGAUGGAACCGCAUGGUUCAAGAGUGAAAGACGGUUUGGCUGUCACUUAGAGAUGGAUCCGCGCCGCAUUAGCUAGUGGGUAAGGUAACGGCUUACCAAGGCAACGAUGCGUAGCCGACCUGAGAGGGUGAUCGGCCACACUGGAACUGAGACACGGUCCAGACUCCUACGGGAGGCAGCAGUAGGGAAUCUUCCGCAAUGGGCGCAAGCUUGACGGAGCAACGCCGCGUGUGUGAUGAAGGUCUUCGGAUCGUAAAGCUCUGUUAUUAGGGAAGAACAAAUGUGUGUGUAUCUCUGCACGUCUUGACGGUACCUAAUCAGAAAGCCACGGCUAACUCCGUG